GGCCUUUUCACAGACUUUGGUAUGUUUUGAAGUUUGUCAUUAAAUGCUUUAUAUUGAUAAAUAUAAACAUUGGUUCUAAAAUUCUCCAGUAAAAAUACAAGAAUACAAUUAAAGAAUUAAAAAAAGUAACCCUCCACGGUACUCGAACCACUGACCCUUGGAGCCAUGGAGCAAAAGUCUACUGCUCUAUCCACAAGACCAUCCACUCUUCUAUCACGAUCUUUGUAUUUUUUACCUCAUAUGUGCAAUACUCGUAGUUUCAAAAAUACAACGACAACAACAGAAUUCUCCAAAUUAUUCAAUCGUUUCGCGUUGCAACGCUUUAUAACUUUCAGGUUUUUAAAUCGUCAAAAGAUGCACAUAAUGGAUAUUUUAGAGCAUGGUAAAUGUUCAGUAUUACUGUUUCCUCACAAAUAUCAUAACUUCAAGAAAAAUUUGCGAAUCUGAUUUUUUUCUUCAAUAUUUUCAAUUUACCAAAGCGUGAAAAGGCCCCUUUAAAGUACAUCAUUCAAACAUACAGACAUUUGUUCAUGUGAUCGGAAGUUGUGAAUUUGUGUCAUCCGAUGUUGAAAAUAACAAAAAACAUGUUAACACUAACAUGUUCAACUAAGAGCUUCUAUUACAUAAUUAUUAUUGAUUUACACAGAUGAAAUUCUCUGAAAUCACAUGGUCUUAAAUGUAACACGUGGUUUAUAAUAUUUUAUUUAAUUCAUCUUCAAAGUUCGAAGUUUCAUUGUGGAAAUCUGGUCCUUUACAAGUUUAUAUAUAUAUUUUAAAAUCAUAUUACUUAGGUCAUAUCUUUCGACAUCGGGGCCAGAUAAUUUAUGUAGACUUUUCUAUUACAAUAACUUUAAUAAAUAGUUUUCUCUGAGGUCACAGUGUUCUUUUUGGAAUAUUACCGGGUACAUUGCAUAAUGGUCUUCUACAACUUUUUUCAAAGGGGGUCGCAUUUUGUUUAGUCGCCUUUUAAUACUUAUAUAUCGCGACAUGUGGCGUCGGGUUUAUUCUUUGUUACACUUUUGUAAAAAGAAAUAGUUUAUGUUACUUAAUCACCCAUAAAUUUAAGCACCACAUGUUCAAGCAUUGUGUUCAUACCGGGUCAUACUGACCUGUGUCAUUUACCGCCAAGAAUUAUGGGUAGUGUGAGGAACUUUUUUCAAUGUCCAUCCUUAAAUGUGACCAUGACUUCAAGUUUCGGUUUUUAACAUUACACCAUGAAAUAUUAAACAAUUAUAUAUUUGAAAUAAAUCAGUUGGUUGAGUGAAGGACUAGUCCCGGGGGUCGUGGGUUUCAGUUCUAUAACGACAGUAAGUAAGUGACCAGCACGUGUAUAAAUAGGCUGGGAUUAUUAACUUGGUGUAGUUGAAUCGCAAUCUAGAAAACAGUUGACAAAAUCAAGAUGUGAAUUCACAGUAUGUAUACAGUUUAUAUGCCAUAACAAUUUAACAAAUAUGUGAAUAUGGUUACUGCGUGUAAACUAAAGAGAUUAUUAAACACCGAGAGUAGACUGUUUACAGUCCUCCAUUAUCAUUUUAUCAUUUUUAUAGAGAUAACUCUCUCCUACUUCUUGCACUGUACUUAUACUAUACAGAGUUACGUUUUCUUAUCUGCUGCAGCCAGAAGAGAAAAGGAGCUUUGAUAUUGUAUUGCAAUACAUUUCAAGAAGUAAUUGUGAAAUUAGAAAAGAUUUUUUUUAUCAGUCUGUUGACAGACUACACCGAGAGGAAAACAUUUCCUAAGUUAAGAGAUUUUACAAGUAUUUAAUUAAAGGAAUUACAUUUACAAUUAAAAAUCCGAAUAAAAUCAUCAUCAUCAUAAUCAUAAUCAUAUUAAUCAUCAUCAUCAUCAUCAUCAUCAUCAUCAUCAUCAUCAUCAUCAUCAUCAUCAUCAUCAUCAUCAUCAUCAUCAUCAUCAUCUUGACCGGCCUUGUCGUUGGGGGAACUAAUGAGGGACGACGAAACAAAAAUCCUACACCAGUUAGGUCUGUUGUGGGCUGCUGAGAGAAAUUCAUCCAUACGGAGUUUUGUCCACGCCUUCCCGUUGUCCAUCCAGCUUUUCGUCUGACGGCCUCGACGGCGAUGCUCCCUAGCAUGACCUGAAGCACAGUUUUGAAGGCAAAAGAGUCUGCAAUAUUGCAAGCAAACAUUCAAAGUCACCAUUGGGACCAGUCAGACGCAUAAGGACACGUCUCUGAUUGAUGUGAUAUGAUGCUCUACUGUUUCACAUGAUGUUUGCGAACACGUACCUCUCUAACGACCGACAUCCGAAACAUAUUCGAGCAAACAGUGUACGACAGAAAACGGGUCAGACUGCAGUGUAACAAGCUGAUGAAGAGCUAACAUCUAACAGCCAACUUCACAUACCUGAUGCCUACGUUACAUCUGGCGACCUUCAACAUUGGCGCAAGAUUUAAAGUCUUGGGAACCGACAAAAUUGCACUGUUCUCGGUAGUUAUAAGUGAUAUUUUUAGAUAUUGAUGUUGGUUGCGCUUUUCUUAUUCAGCCGCAAAAUCGGCACUAUGUUAUCAUCACAAAAGAAUACUGAAAAGAAAUCUACUGUAAUGAAUACAUAUUUUUUAUUCCCAACCUACAUUUACAGUGAUUUUCCUUGA